GUCCCGCUAGCGGUCCGGGUGCUGCCCGGAGCCCGGCGGCUCCCAUUGCCACCUGCGGGACGUUGGCGCCGGGAGCCGCGCUUGUGAGUCUCCGCGCGCUGUCUGCAGCCGGCUGGUGGCUUCAGGUGGUCUGUUUUGUCCGUUAGAGGUGAGGGGCCGAAGGAGAUGUUUCUCCUGAGAUGUGCUGCGAGGAAUAUUGAUGUCUCAGACUUUCCUCGAAGAAAGAUUCAGAGCACUUUAAGCAGUUGCCUGUGGUUUAGGGCUGGUGUCAGAGAUGAAUGUGGAAGCGGUGACUGACAGAACGCCCUGCUUGUGGGUCUGCAGCCCCACGUUUGGCUGAGCAGCGUUCAGCAGUUCCCGUCCCUGCACAGUCCCAGUUUUCUGUCAUUACACACCCUGCAGGUGUGUGCUGGGCACAUUGAGCCUCUCAGCACAGAUGGCUUUGACAGAGCAGCUCGGAACGUGGGAUGCACCCUGAGAGCAGGCCUGGCCGGAUCCUUCCUUCCAUCCAACUCAAAACAGCAGAGGGGGAAAAGCUUGGUGAGAUCCUCAGGGUCUUCAGGCUGAGUUACUGGGUUUUUGUUUGCUUAGUGAUAGAAGCUUCGUUGUGACUCUUCAAGAUCCAACACUGCUGAUGAACCUUGGGAGCUUAGGAAUGUAAUUUUGAUUCCAUGGCAUAAUUAGCUGUUCUUUUUGUUCUUCCUCAAAAAAAUUACACAACUGUAUAUGAAAAAUAUGACAAUUUUUUGGUUCAGAAAACACUUCCAUUUGUUGUAUCUUUUUUCAUUCCUAAAACAUAAUCCACUCUAUUAACAAAAUAAAAGUGAAAUCUGAAGGAGCAAGAAUUGUAUACUACAAAAUGAAUGAUAUUUCAAAGAGUUAUCUAGUAUGAACAAUGUUUUUUGGCAAUUUCUUAUUUUUGAAUUUUAACUUUGUCAUUAUAAUUUACAGUAAUGGUGUACAUUGGGACUAUCUAUCUCUGCAUUCAGUUCCUGAAAACGUAUUUAGGAGAACACAUAUGCUUUGCCUGCCUGUUCAUGUGUUUAUCUAGCACAGAUAAUACCAGAAAUACUUCAAAUAAACGAGCUUUGCAGUAAAUUCAGAAA